rnacentral:misc_RNA from 1 species
UCUCUGUAGGUGAAACUGCGGAGGGAUCAUUACUGAGUGAGGGCUCACGCCCGACCUCCAACCCUUUCUGAACACAUCUUGUUGCUUCGGGGGCGACCCUGCAUGCACUCUGUCGCCGGGCGCCCCCGAAGGUCUCCAAACACUGCAUCUUUGCGUCGGAGUUUAAAACAAAUUAAACAAAACUUUCAACAACGGAUCUCUUGGUUCUGGCAUCGAUGAAGAACGCAGC